GGAGAUUGGUGAGUUUACAAGGACCAGGGCCCACACUGCUGAUCCCACUGGGCGUGGAGGAGGACCGUGCUGAGGAGGAGUUGUGAAGAUCAACAGCGAUGGGUAACGCAGCUGCAGACAGUACUGAUGAGAUGUGAUGCCAGCAAGAGUCCUAGGCCAUCUGCAAGCAACCCUCUAUAUGGUUAAUAAAUAAGGAGGCACUGUUCUCUAACACCACUAUUUCUACACUACGGGACACAUUGCCUCGCCCAGUGACCACCACACACUCCCAUUCUCCACUGGCUUCCACAUGAACAUCGUAUAGAAGGAGUUCACUAUAUAAAAACAAGGUGAGAAGGUUAGGAAUAAAUAAAAUGGCAGAUUUCAUACACAUAAUAUAAAUAGUUGUGUACCUUGUGA